GCCCCGGUAGCUCAGUUGGACAGAGCAGCCGCCUUCUAAGCGGCAGGUCAGAGGUUCGAAUCCUCUCUGGGGCG
rnacentral:tRNA from 1 species